UGCAUGUCUAAGCCCGGGUAAUAUUAAGGCGAAACCGCGAAUGGCUCAUUAAAUCAGUUAUGGUUCCUUGGAUCGUACCUUAUUACUUGGAUAACUGUGGCAAUUCUAGAGCUAAUACAUGCAGCAGAGCUCCGACCUUCGGGGACGAGCGCUUUUAUUAGACCAAAACCAAUCGGACCUCGUGUCCGUCUCUUGUGGUGACUCUGUAUAACUUUGGGCUGAUCGCACGGGCCCGUCCCGGCGACGUAUCUUUCAAGUGUCUGCCUUAUCAACUUUCGAUGGUAGGUUACGCGCCUACCAUGGUUGUAACGGGUAACGGGGAAUCAGGGUUCGAUUCCGGAGAGGGAGCCUGAGAAACGGCUACCACAUCCAAGGAAGGCAGCAGGCGCGCAAAUUACCCACUCCCAGAACGGGGAGGUAGUGACGAAAAAUAACAAUACGGGACUCUUUUGAGACCCCGUAAUUGGAAUGAGUACACUCUAAAUCCUUUAACGAGGAUCCAUUGGAGGGCAAGUCUGGUGCCAGCAGCUGCGGUAAUUCCAGCUCCAAUAGCGUAUAUUAAAGUUGUUGCGGUUAAAAAGCUCGUAGUUGGAUCUCAGUUCCAGACGGGUGGUCCGCCUACCGGUGGUUACUGCCUGUUCUGAACAGCCAGCCGGUUUCUCUUGAUGAUCUUCACCGGUUGUCUUGGGUGACCGGCAAGUUUACUUUGAAAAAAUUAGAGUGCUCAAAGCAGGCGUGACGCCUGAAUAAUGGUGCAUGGAAUAAUGGAAUAGGACCUCGGUUCUAUUUUGUUGGUUUUCGGAACAUGAGGUAAUGAUUAAGAGGGACAGACGGGGGCAUUCGUAUUGCGACGCUAGAGGUGAAA
rnacentral:rRNA from 1 species